rnacentral:rRNA from 1 species
UACGAAGGGGGCUAGCGUUGCUCGGAAUUACUGGGCGUAAAGGGAGCGUAGGCGGAUAGUUCAGUCAGAGGUGAAAGCCCAGGGCUCAACCUUGGAAUUGCCUUUGAUACUGGCUGUCUUGAGUAUGGGAGAGGUUAGCGGAACUCCGAGUGUAGAGGUGAAAAUUCGUAGAUAUUCGGAAGAACACCAGUGGCGAAGGCGGCUAACUGGCCCAUUACUGAGCGCUGAGGCUCG